UGCUUGAAUUCAAUCUAGUUCUCAUGAGAAUCAAUCUUUUCUCUCCGUCCAAUAAGCAUGUGUAUGUAUUUAUGUUUCAACCGGUUUUGUCAAGUCUUCAAUUUAAAGUCACUAUCUAGACGAAAUGCUUGGCUCAGUUUGAAACCUGGGCUUCUGAAUUGAUUUAAAUUGCUGAAACUUUAAGUUAGCUUUACGGUUUGAGCAAACAGAAUGUAGUUUGA
ensembl:ncRNA F57G12.9 ncRNA